rnacentral:rRNA from 1 species
UCAGCCGCCGCGGUAAUACCAGCUCUCCGAGUGGUGUGGACGUUUAUUGGGCCUAAAGCAUCCGUAGCCGGUUGUUUAAGUUUUCGGUUAAAUCUAUGCGCUUAACGUAUAGGCUGCCGAAAAUACUGGACAGCUAGGGAGUGGGAGAGGUACACGGUACUCAAUAGGAAGGGGUAAAAUCCUUUGAUCUGUUGAUGACCACCUGUGGCGAAGGCGGUGUACCAGAACACGUUCGACGGUGAGGGGCGAAAGCUGGGGGCGCGAACGGGAUUAGAUACCCCGGUAGUCCCAGCCGUAAAGGAUGCGGGCAAGGUGCUCGUCGCUCUUCGAGGGCGCCGGGUGCCGUAGAGAAGUCGUUAAGCCCGCCGCCUGGGAAGUACGGUCGCAAGGCUGAAACUUAAAGGAAUUGGCGGGGGAGCACA